rnacentral:misc_RNA from 1 species
GUUGAGUUGAGUUUAGUUUAGUUUGAUGACGUGGUGGAAUCAUUAUAUUUUUUGUUUUAAUACAACUGGAAAUGCUGCUAAAAUUUAUUCAUUUGGUUAUGGUAUCUCUUCCUUAUAACUGUAACAAUUGACAUAAUUUCCUUGCAUUCAUCCCUCAAUGCUUCUACAACCAUAUUAUCUGUCUGGGAGGAAAUUUAUAGAAGCUUUGGGAUAUAAUAUAUUUUUAUCUUUAUUCUAACAAUUAAACAUGCUUAUUCUUUUUGCAUAAUGUGAAGUUGGUUUGAUCUUAUUGUAGGGUUACAUCAAGGUUAGAAAACAAAAAUGCUUAGUUCCAUCAAUAGGUUUCAUCAUGAUGCCUAAUUCCAUCUGGUACAAGGCUCUAGUCUAGAAGAGUAUAGGCUGAAUGUAUGUGUUAACUGUUGACUAAGCAUGCUUUCUACGACCAAUGCAGGUUCCUUUAUCCAAUAUACCCUCUUGUUUGUGUUGCUGCAUCUGCUGUCAUUGAAAGCUUUCCUGAUCUUUUCCGAGAC